rnacentral:rRNA from 1 species
GACGAACGCUGGCGGCGUGCCUAAUACAUGCAAGUUGAGCGCUGAAGGUUGGUACUUGUACCCACUGGAUGAGCAGCGAACGGGUGAGUAACGCGUGGGGAAUCUGCCUUUGAGCGGGGGACAACAUUUGGAAACGAAUGCUAAUACCGCAUAAAAACUUUAAACACAAGUUUUAAGUUUGAAAGAUGCAAUUGCAUCACUCAAAGAUGAUCCCGCGUUGUAUUAGCUAGUUGGUGAGGUAAAGGCUCACCAAGGCGAUGAUACAUAGCCGACCUGAGAGGGUGGUCGGCCACAUUGGGACUGGGACACGGCCCAAACUCCUACGGGAGGCAGCAGUAGGGAAUCUUCGGCAAUGGACGAAAGUCUGACCGAGCAACGCCGCGGGAGUGAAGAAGGUUUUCGGAUCGUAAAACUCUGUUGGUAGAGAAGAACGUUGGUGAGAGUGGAAAGCUCAUCAAGUGACGGUAACUACCCAGAAAGGGACGGCUAACUACGUG